rnacentral:rRNA from 1 species
UGGGGCUACACACGUCAUACAAUGGCUGGUACAAAGGGUUGCCAACCCGCGAGGGGGAGCCAAUCCCAUAAAGCCAGUCGUAGUCCGGAUCGUAGUCUGCAACUCGACUACGUGAAGUCGGAAUCGCUAGUAAUCGUGGAUCAGAAUGUCACGGUGAAUACGUUCCCGGGUCUU